CCCUGCACACGUAGUGUCGCCGGUGCUGCCUCCUGCUAGCCCCGGACCCAGCGCCUGCCGUCAUGGCUCCCGGCAAGCUCGCCUUGUUCAGUGUCUCUGAUAAAACCGGCCUUGUGGAAUUUGCAAGAAACCUGACCUCUCUCGGUUUCAAUCUGGUCGCUUCCGGAGGGACUGCAAAAGCUCUCAGGGAUGCUGGUCUGGCAGUCAGAGACAUCUCUGAGUUGACAGGAUUUCCUGAAAUGUUGGGGGGAUGUGUGAAAACUUUGCAUCCUGCAGUCCAUGCUGGAAUCCUGGCUCGCAAUAUCCCAGAAGAUAAUGCUGACAUGGCCAGACUUGAUUUCAGUCUUAUAAGAGUUGUUGCCUGCAAUCUCUAUCCCUUCGUGAAGACAGUGGCUUCUGCAGGUGUAACUGUUGAGGAGGCUGUGGAGCAAAUUGACAUUGGUGGAGUAAUCUUACUGAGAGCUGCAGCCAAAAACCACGCUCGAGUGACAGUGGUGUGUGAACCUGAGGACUAUGUGGCAGUGUCCACAGAGAUGCAGAGCUCCGAGAGCAAGGACACCUCCUUGGAGACUAGACGCCAGUUAGCCUUGAAGGAAAAUGAAGUUCGAACUCUCUUCGGUCUUCAUUUAAGCCAGAAGAGAAAUAAUGGUGUCGUCGACAAGUCAUUAUUUAGCAAUGUUGUCACCAAGAAUAAAGAUCUACCAGAGUCUGCCCUCCAAGACCUGAUCGUGGCCACCAUUGCUGUCAAGUACACUCAGUCCAACUCCGUGUGCUACGCCAAGAACGAGCAGGUUAUUGGCAUUGGAGCCAGACAGCAGUCUCGUAUACACUGCACCCGCCUUGCAGGAGAUAAGGCAAACUACUGGUGGCUUAGAUACCAUCCACAAGUGCUCUCGAUGAAGUUUAAAACGGGAGUGAAGAGAGCAGAAAUCUCCAAUGCCAUUGAUCAAUACGUGACUGGAACCAUUGGCUAGGAUGAAGACUUGAUAAAGUGGAAGGCCCUGUUUGAGGAAGUCCCAGAAUUACUCACUGAGGCAGAGAAGAAGGAAUGGGUUGACAAACUGAGUGAAGUUUCUGUCAGCUCUGAUGCCUUCUUCCCUUUCAGAGGUAAUGUAGACAGAGCUAAAAGGAGUGGUGUGCUGUACAUCGCGGCUCCGUCUGGCUCUGCUGCUGACAAAGUUGUGAUUGAGGCCUGCGAUGAACUGGGAAUCAUCCUCGCUCACAUGAACCUUCGGCUCUUCCACCACUGAUUUUAUCACACCCUGUUUUAUGGUUUGCUUAUAUGUAGGUGAAACAUUGAGAAUAACUUUAAAAAAAAAUAAAACAGUACAUCUUAAAAAAA